GCUCAUUUCAUUCUCUGUAUCUACUCUGUUCAUGCUCGUUUCAUGCCAUAGAUUCCUGCUCUGCCAAGUCCGGCUGGAAAUCGGGAGAAAUUUGGGAGAAUGGUUGUCCCGGGAGAUUUUCGCGAGAGGCAAUGAAGUACAGGAGUCCCUCGGAAAAUUUGGGAGUGUUG